rnacentral:rRNA from 1 species
AGUGAACGCUGGCGGUAGGCCUAACACAUGCAAGUCGAACGGCAGCACAGUAAGAGCUUGCUCUUACGGGUGGCGAGUGGCGGACGGGUGAGGAAUACAUCGGAAUCUACUUUUUCGUGGGGGAUAACGUAGGGAAACUUACGCUAAUACCGCAUACGACCUACGGGUGAAAGCAGGGGAUCUUCGGACCUUGCGCGAUUGAAUGAGCCGAUGUCGGAUUAGCUAGUUGGCGGGGUAAAGGCCCACCAAGGCGACGAUCCGUAGCUGGUCUGAGAGGAGGAUCAGCCACACUGGAACUGAGACACGGUCCAGAGGCCUACGGGAGGCAGCAGUGGGGAAUAUUGGACAAUGGGCGCAAGCCUGAUCCAGCCAUACCGCGUGGGUGAAGAAGGCCUUCGGGUUGUAAAGCCCUUUUGUUGGGAAAGAAAAGCAGCAGGUUAAUACCCCGCUGUUCUGACGGUACCCAAAGAAUAAGCACCGGCUAACUUCGUG